AGAGUUUGAUCCUGGCUCAGGACAAACGCUGGCGGCGUGCGUAACACAUGCAAGUCGGACGAGGGGAGGAGUCUUUUCGGAGAGUCCUCUUUCGAGUGGCGGACGGGUGAGUAACACGUGGAUAACCUACCUGGUGUGGGGGAUACCCUGUAGAAAUACGGGCUAAUACCGCAUGCGGUCGAUUGUGGGGAGCCAUAAUC
rnacentral:rRNA from 1 species